rnacentral:rRNA from 1 species
UUCUGUUUGAUCCUGCCGGAGGUUACUGCUAUCGAGGUUCGACUAAGCCAUGCGAGUCGAAUGUAGCAAUACAUGGCGUACUGCUCAGUAACACGUGGACAACCUACCCUUAGGUCGGGGAUAAACCCGGGAAACUGGGUAUAAUACCCGAUAGUCCUCGGAUGCUGGAAUGCACCGAGGUCUAAAGCUCCGGCGCCUAAGGAUGGGUCUGCGGCCUAUCAGGUAGUAGUGGGUGUAGCGUACCUACUAGCCUACGACGGGUACGGGUUGUGAGAGCAAGAGCCCGGAGAUGGAUUCUGAGACACGAAUCCAGGCCCUACGGGGUGCAGCAGGCACGAAAACUUUACAAUGCUGGAAACAGCGAUAAGGGGACCUCGAGUGCCAGGUUACAAAUCUGGCUGUCGUGAUGCCUAAAAAGCAUUGCAUAGCAAGGGCCGGGCAAGACCGGUGCCAGCCGCCGCGGUAACACCGGCGGCUCGAGUGGUAACCGCUAUUAUUGGGUCUAAAGGGUCUGUAGCCGGCCGGAUAGUCUUUUGGGAGAUCUGGCAGCUUAACUGUCAGGCUUUCAGAGGAUACUGUCUGGCUCGAGGCCGGGAGAGGUGAGAGGUACUCAGGGGUAGGGGGAAAUCUUGUAAACUGAAGGACCACCA